rnacentral:lncRNA from 1 species
GAGCGAGCGGCGGGUGUCCCUGAGAGGCCACCUUUCGACCUUCGAGGGCCAGGAGGAUACGGGGAGGUGGCCGGAGGGAGUUCCCGAACACAGGUCUUCCUGUUCCCGCCGAGCAGGUGUUGGCGGUGCCAGGCCCGGCCUGGCGGGCCCGGGCUGGCAGCCAAAUACCCAGCGUCUGUGCUCGGGACGGGAGUGUUCGUCCAGGACGUGCAGCUCCGGAGCCUGCGCGGGCGACCUUGACCACCUUUGUCGGCUGUUUCCCCCUGAGGGAAGUAUACCUGUCCUGCCAGCCUUGGUCUCUGGCAGGGAAGGUCCUUCCAACAGAGAGGGAAUUGCUUAGAAUUGACUCAACACUGCCUCCUUGCUGAAUGGAUAAUUCAAGCAAACAACUCAAGAGCUGGAUGCUGCCCAGACAGGUAGGCAGCCAGAUAAAGUGAGUGUCCAGGGAAAGAGCAGUAAGGGUCAGAAGAGAAAGAGCCUGGUGUUCUCACUGCCUCCUGCCUUCCUUAUGACUGUCUGUUCAGAAGUCCUCCUAGCAUCUUUCUUCUGCCUUCCCCUGCUCCUGUCCCUGAAACCUUUUCUUCAAAAGAAGUGGAAAAGAGGAACUGGGAACCCAUAUAGCAACAGCAUCACCUGGAAUGAAUUCCUUUAGAACAUACUGUCUUGGAAAUCUGAAGCCUGCAGGGCUGGACAGGCAAGAAGAGCAGUGAGCACUGCAUGAACCUGCAUGUACUCCGAAAUAUUUUUCAAAUGGAAAAGAAAACAGAGAACACAAUUUUCAAAAUAUCUAGAGCCCUCCAAGAAGUCUUUGUAGAGAUCUAUAAAAUCUCAAGGCAAUUUAAAGAAUAGAAAAAUGUUUUAGAAACACUAUUCUCUCCACAUCCUGGGGCAGCAGCCUUCUCCAAAGAAACAGAAAGAAGGAAAUGGAUUGCCUUAGCAAAAAAACAAAUGAAGACACUCCAAAUAACAGAAGAAUGGGAAGGCUACAGACCUUGAAGUCAGAAGAAAAUUUCCUCUCCUUGCCCCGUUUCUCCUUAAAUGGAUCACCAGUACAGUCUCUUACUUCUAGAGCCAUGUUAAGCUUUCUUCCCCAAAGUUGUAAUGUCCUUCUUUUGGUUGUGUCGUGUCCUAAAAUCCUACUCUUUGGUACAAGAUGAAGGUAUAUGAAGAGAUAAUGAAGGAAACAAAUUCAAUGUGUUUGCCAAGAACACAGUCUUUUAAAUAACUCUUAAAGGGUUCGUUUAAAACAGUGUAAUAAAUUGUGGUAAUCUAGUACACAAAGCUAGUAGGAACCUCGUUUAUUAAUAAUAUUUCAACAUUGAGCAGUAGAGGGCAGCACUAUCCUUCUUUUGCAAAAUGUUGAGCACUCUUGAGAAGGAAAAUAAAGGCAAAGCUCCUGACCCCUGUGUCUGUGUUUACUUUUACCAUUAAAAAAAAACAAAAAAUUGGAGUAUUUUUAUUAUGGUUUAGGUGAUUAUGUAUAAAGAAUGUCAGAGCCUGCAUUACCUGGAAGUGGUGCACCAGGUAAUGCAAAAAACACGGAAGGUUUGAGGUCCCCCACUCAGGAUAUGGGUUCUGUCUAGUAAAGAUAAACAGUAGCUUGACCCUGGGUAAUCAGAUAGGGUUAUUGUAUGAACAGACCUAAUGCUCCUGCACGUUCUGGAUAGAAGUCAAUCUACUGAAAUAGCAGGAUGUAGUUUUAAAAAAUGUGUGUAACUCAUAUAGUCUUAGCCCUGAUAAGUGCUUCUAAAUUCUUAUUCACUGCCUUUAUUCUGCUGUGUUAGUGUUGCUCUCUGUCAUACGUGGGUCAGGUCAGAACUAGCUCAAAUACAGUAUGUGUAUUAUGACUUUAAGGAGUGGUGUCAGACAAGAUGGGUAAAGAAUGUCUUUCAUGGGACUGCAGUUGGCUAAAUGGCUGUGUAUAAGUAGUGAAAUUGAAGCCUUGUAUGCUCGUCGUCAUUCUAUCACAGUAUGAUUUGAGUUUCCCUAACCGGUAAACAGCAAGAAAAAAUGAUCUGUUAUUUUUUACUAAAGUUACUUGAUGCUCUUUAGCAAGCUGACAGAAUAAUUCUAAUUUUAGCAAAUACAAAACCAUGGUAAUCCUAGCACAUUUGGAUUCUGUUUAACCCUGAAAACUCUUUUGGCAGCAAAUCUUCAAUGCCAAUUUAGAUAAAUCCCACUAGGAAUAAGCACUGAAAGACGUUGAGUCUAGUUCCCAGCUCUGCCAUGUGAAGUUGGGCAAAUUACAGUCUCUGAGCUUUUAUUUCAUCUGUUAAAUGGAGAUAAUACCUCCUAGAUUUAUUAAAAGGGUCAAUUUAGAAAAUAUGUAUUAAAAUGGUUUGAAAGCCAUUUAAGUACCUAAUGAAUAUUUCUAUCACUGUAGCCCAAAAAGAUUCCUGCCUAGAAGACUUUAUGUCUCUUCUCCUCAUUUGGUAUCAUUCUAUUGCCUGAGAUUGUUAAUUAACUUUUAUGUAUACUCAAUAUUUUCUCCCAACUUGGUUGCUAGUUCCUUGAGAACUGAAACCAUCAAUUGCACUUCUUGGUAUCCUCCACAAUAAGGUAUCUAGGUACUCAAAUAUUUGUUGGUUGAUUAAAAACAUAAACCACAAGACAUAAUUAACUCUUUUUAAAAUUGUGGUAAAAAAACAUGUAUUUACCAUCUUAAUCAUUUUUAAGUAUACUGUAUAUUAGUGUUUACUAUAUGCACAUUGUUGUGCAACACAUCUCUAGGACUUUUUCAUCCAGAAUUCUUUUUUUUUGAGACAGAGUCUUGCUGUGUCGCCCAAGCUGGAGUUCAGUGGCACCAUCCUGGCUCACUGCAACUGCUGCCUCCCAGGUUCAAGUGAUUCUCCUGCCUCAGCCUCCCGAGUAGCUGGGAUUACAUGUGCCUGCCACCACGCCUGGCAAGUUUUUGUAUUUUUAGUAGAAAUGGUGUUUUACCAUGUUGGCCAAGACUGGCCUAGAACUCCAGACCUCAAGUGAUCCACCCGCCUCAGCAGCCCAAAGUGGUGGGAUUACAGGCAUGAGCAACUGUGCCUGGCCUAGCCAUUUUCUAUAAACCUGAAAAUAGAUGCCAGAAAAGAAGGUGCCGCUAUAAAAUGCUUUCUUGAGUGAUUUAUGUCUAACAUACAAUUAAACAUUUAUGAGAAGGAAAUUAUCAGGUUAAAAUAUAAACUCACUUGCCAAUUAUUUGAUUUUCAGGAUAUCUGACUUUUGUUAAUUACUGAAAAUAAAGUAUUAUUUCUAAU